CGUAGCCGCGCCGCGUGUCGCCUCACCCCUCCCUCUAGAGCUCUCCCUGCGGCUAUUUAAGCACGCCUGGAGGUUCAUUGCGGUCCUCAACCCCUCCCAAGCCUCUCCCCUGAGCUUCCGAGCCUCCUCUCGCCCGCCAUUGCCGUCAUGGACGCCUCCUUGGUCCUGCUAAAUUGAAGCGACCAGAGCCACCCCUCCACUCCCUGACCGCACCCACAUCUUUCCCAUGCUCCGGUGAUCCUCCCCAGACCCUCACCUCGUCACCGGAGUACCUAAAGCCUCCGCCCCCAAGAUCCAGUGCCGCCGCGGUCGCUCUCCUUUCCGGUGGCGAUCUCCUCCCCGCGCCUCCCCAGCAGCCGCCCUUCCUCUGAAUGGAUGCGGCGGGCCACGCCUAGCUACCGCGCCACGGCCGGAGACGACCGGAGUCGGCCGGCCCCCUCGCCUGAAGCUCGCCUCUGCCUCGCCUGGUCCUCCUCUGUUCCACGCGAAGAACACAGGGAGGAAGAAGACGAGCGCCCGACCCCCUUCCCCUGCGCCUGGGCCCCACGCGCUAGUGGCCCAGCGCCCUGCUGACGUGGAUAAGUGGACACGGCUUCUGCCCGUGCACAAUUUCAUCCAACGAAAGCGUAUUUUCUCUCUGCUUCAGCUCAAAGGACCCGUAUGUGGAUAUUCUUUUUGCAAAAAAGUCCCUGAUUUUCAUCACUUUAUAACUCCGCAACCGUAACUCCGAUUGAGGCCCCCUCCGAGAGAGAACUGUUUCUGGCAAAUCUUUCUGCGAUCGUUCCGCACUUUUUCCGGAGUAUUUGUCGACCCCAGGCAAGCCAACCAAUUAUCUUGAGCCCCGAACUUGCAUGUUGACUUUGCUUGCACCUCGUGUGUGUGUUUAGUUGCAGUAGUUUCUUGUCUGUUCCGUCUCCUAUUAUUUUAGUCGUGCUAUAUGUUUUGUUAUCUGUCUUGCAUGCUUAUGCGUUCAUGAAAUAGGUUGACAUGCUAGU